AUUCGCCUAAGGUCACUCCCAAUCCUCCGUUCAUUCGACUCCCUGAUAUAUGCUUAAACAAAAAGAGUAACAUCUUGCACCGUUUGAACUUUGUUUUCAUGCACAAGCAAAUUUCUUGAAUAGAUAACGCCCAAAGCGUGAUAGCGUACUCGACACUUGUCUUCACCAAAAUUUCUGAAUGAACCAAACAUCCGAUUAGGAAAAUCAUU
rnacentral:lncRNA from 1 species